AGCGAACGCUGGCGGCAGGCUUAACACAUGCAAGUCGAACGGGCGUAGCAAUACGUCAGUGGCAGACGGGUGAGUAACGCGUGGGAACGUACCUUUUGGUUCGGAACAACACAGGGAAACUUGUGCUAAUACCGGAUAAGCCCUUACGGGGAAAGAUUUAUCGCCGAAAGAUCGGCCCGCGUCUGAUUAGCUAGUUGGUGAGGUAACGGCUCACCAAGGCGACGAUUCAGUAGCUGGUCUGAGAGGAUGAUCAGCCACAUUGGGACUGAGACACGGCCCAAACUCCUACGGGAGGCAGCAGUGGGGAAUAUUGGACAAUGGGCGAAAGCCUGAUCCAGCCAUGCCGCGUGAGUGAUGAAGG
rnacentral:rRNA from 1 species